rnacentral:rRNA from 1 species
UACGUAGGCAGCGAGCGUUGUUCGGAAUUAUUGGGCGUAAAGAGCGUGUAGGCGGUGUUCUAAGUUCGGUGUGAAAUCUCCCGGCUUAACUGGGAGGGUGCGCCGGAAACUGGAGUGCUCGAACGUGGGAGAGGAAAGCGGAAUUCCUGGUGUAGCGGUGAAAUGCGUAGAUAUCAGGAGGAACACCUGCGGUGUAGACGGCUUUCUGGACCAUUGUCGACGCUGAGACACGAAAGCGUGGGUAGCAAACAGG